ensembl:ncRNA T19F4.8 ncRNA
AAACCUGUCUCGAUUUCCAGUGUUGCUGAGCAGAGGCGAGAAAAAAAAUUGACAGAAAAAGGGACCCUCGCAUUCAUUUAAGCCAAGGGGGCUUAUGAAUUGGCGAGUUGAUGAAAAUAGUUCAUGAGGCGUAGAGAAAAAUACACGACGGCUGGAUGGAGAGGAGACGACAAAAAACAACACAAAAAAAAUGGUGGAACAACGGAG